AUUGAACGCUGGCGGCAUGCUUUACACAUGCAAGUCGAACGGUAACAGGGUGCUUGCACCGCUGACGAGUGGCGAACGGGUGAGUAAUGCAUCGGAAUGUACCGUGUAAUGGGGGAUAGCUCGGCGAAAGCCGGAUUAAUACCGCAUACGCCCUGAGGGGGAAAGUGGGGGACCGAAAGGCCUCACGUUAUACGAGCAGCCGAUGUCUGAUUAGCUAGUUGGUGAGGUAAAGGCUCGCCAAGGCGUCGAUCAGUAGCGGGUCUGAGAGGAUGAUCCGCCACACUGGGACUGAGACACGGCCCAGACUCCUACGGGAGGCAGCAGUGGGGAAUUUUGGACAAAGGGCGCAAGCCUGAUCCAGCCAUGCCGCGUGUCUGAAGAAGGCCUUCGGGUUGUAAAGGACUUUUGUCCGGGAGCAAAUCCUAGUGGUUAAUACCUACUGGGGCUGAGAGUACCGGAAGAAUAAGCACCGGCUAACUACGUG
rnacentral:rRNA from 1 species